rnacentral:rRNA from 1 species
AGAUUGAACUGAAGAGUUUGAUCAUGGCUCAGAUUGAACGCUGGCGGCAGGCUUAACACAUGCAAGUCGAGCGGUAACAGAGAUAGCUUGCUAUCUGCUGACGAGCGGCGGACGGGUGAG